rnacentral:rRNA from 1 species
AACGAACGCUGGCGGCAUGCCUAACACAUGCAAGUCGAACGAGACCUUCGGGUCUAGUGGCGCACGGGUGCGUAACGCGUGGGAACCUGCCUUUAGGUUCGGAAUAACUCAGAGAAAUUUGAGCUAAUACCGGAUGAUGUCUUCGGACCAAAGAUUUAUCGCCUUUAGAUGGGCCCGCGUUGGAUUAGCUAGUUGGUGGGGUAAAGGCCUACCAAGGAGACGAUCCAUAGCUGGUCUGAGAGGAUGAUCAGCCACACUGGGACUGAGACACGGCCCAGACUCCUACGGGAGGCAGCAGUGGGGAAUAUUGGACAAUGGGCGAAAGCCUGAUCCAGCAAUGCCGCGUGAGUGAUGAAGGCCUUAGGGUUGUAAAGCUCUUUUACCCGAGAUGAUAAUGACAGUAUCGGGAGAAUAAGCUCCGGCUAACUCCGUG